rnacentral:rRNA from 1 species
UACGUAGGGUGCGAGCGUUAAUCGGAAUUACUGGGCGUAAAGCGUGCGCAGGCGGUUUUGUAAGUCCGAUGUGAAAGCCCCGGGCUUAACCUGGGAAUGGCAUUUGGGACUGCAAGGCUUGAGUGCGGCAGAGGAGACUGGAAUUCCUGGUGUAGCAGUGAAAUGCGUAGAUAUCAGGAGGAAUACCGAUGGCGAAGGCAGGUCUCUGGGCUGACACUGACGCUCAUGCACGAAAGCGUGGGGAGCAAACAGG